UAUGUUUCUAUGGCUAGUGGUUAAUGAGCAGGUCGUCAUGUGUCCAGCACAAUGACUAACCGCCUUAAUUUUCCCCACCUAAAAUCAGUUACCCAUUAGUGUUGGGUUUCUGAGGGGCACCCUAAAAAUUCAAAAUCCCAAUCUUCAUUGAGGUUCAAACCCAGGACCCCAUUGUUUUCCUAUGAGGUACACAAAUCCUUUAGCCGACAAAAAAUCAAAAUAUUGAUAUAGAAACGAAAUGUAAAAUGACUGAGCUUUGGGCCCAUGACUUUGAAAUGCUAAUAUCUAUGUAUACUUCUUUAUGUUGGCAGAGGAUCAACAUGAUUUGUUCAUUGAAAGACACUUGAAGGUGUAAGUUGUAAAAGGUUUUGAAAGACUUGCCAAAGCAAGGCAUUCUUGACAGGAAUAAACAUUGGGAGCAGCUCUAGCUGACUCAGCUCAGAGGAUGACAUCACUGUUACAUCUUUCUGUUAACAAUGCAUGGAUUAUCUUAUCUUCUUCAUUCUAGGGGAAUUAUGCAUUGAGUGAAGACAUCUUGCUGUAGAAGAGAAGAACAAUUCAGAUAGUUCACAUGAUUUACAAUAUAGCUUUGAUUGUCUUAUGUUAAUGGCUGGUAAAGAACUGAAACAUGUAGGCUGGAGAUCACUUGAUAGAAAUCAAGAAAUCUCUGAUCUACAUUGUAUGAGAAAAUCAUGAAGUGGUUGUUGUCAUUGAUCCAGAAACUAAGUUGCAAUCUGUCUUGAUAAAUAUAUCAUACAGAUUUAAUGGUGGUCUACUCAACCCGAGGCGGCUUAAAGCAAAAACAAAAACAAACGCAGCAGUAAUCAGAGACUUGCUAUUUGCUGACGACUGUGCCCUAAAUGCCUGCUCUGAUAACGAUCUGCAGAGCAUCGUCAGUGACUUCUCAAGAGCAUGCUCAGACUUUGGCCUUACCAUCAAUACGAACAAGACUGAAGUCUUAUAUCUACCUGCUCCUGGGAAAGCCUACUUGGAUCCAAGCAUCACUAUAAAUGGACAGGAUAUAAAUGCAGUGGACAAAUUCACAUAUCUUGGCAGCACACUCUCCAGAAAUGGAAAAAUCGAUAGUGAAAUCGACCUGCGUAUCGCCAAGGCCAGUGCAUCCUACGGCAGAUUGUCUACAAAUGUCUGGAACAGACGUGGUAUCUCCACAAACACCAAGCUAGGGGUCUAUAGAGCUGUCAUCCUCCCUACAUUGCUAUAUGCCUCAGAAACAUGGACAGUGUACAGUAAACAUGCAAAGAAACUAAACCACUUCCACAUGACAUGUCUGAGAAAAAUACUAAAUGUCAAAUGGCAAGACAAAAUACCAGAGUGUGUCUGCAAAGCAUCCACACAAUCCUGAUGCAGUCCCAGCUGCGAUGGGCAGGUCACGUCUACAGAAUGGAAGACCACCGCAUCCCUAAACGACUCCUGUAUGGCCAACUAAGCGAAGGAAAGCGCUCGCAAGGUGGUCAAAGAAAGCGCUUCAGGGACACCCUCAAAGUCAAAGCUUCUCUGAAGGCGUUCAGCAUAGACCCAGGCACCUGGGAGACAGAGGCACAUGACAGAGCAUCAUGGCGUCGCGCUGUGAAAACUGGCGCACAGGUUGCUGGGGAAAAAAGAACAAUGCUGGCAGAAGAAAAACGCCAGAAAAGAAAAGCAAGGCCCACGACACUAGCUCCAGCUGGAAUAACCUGCCCAGUGUGCGGCCGAACAUUCCGGGCUCACAUAGGUCUCACCAGCCACAUGAGGAGGCAUAAAACCCCAGUGCAAAGCCCUCAGCCCCCUGGAUGACAAAGUGGUCAUCAUCGAACCACGAUGGACGAACUAUAAGUUGCAAUCUGUCUUGGUAAGCAGUAUUGAAGUUAGGGUGAUAGCUUUUUUGGUCACAAUAAUUUAAUUUGAAAAUUAAAGAAAUUUUUUUUGCUUUAGUAGACAGAUUUAUAAUCAUUAAACAUUGUUUUAAAUGUCUAAAAGAUUAAUUAAAACUUGUAAAACUGUUGUGAAAUUAUUUUCACUGUUAUCAGUAUUUUUUAUUCCUAGAUUUAUCACUGCUUUUAGUUUCCUAUAUAAUCGUUGUGUUACUAUUCAAAUGUUGUGUAAACAUGGGGGUAGUGUUGUAACCCUGCCUUGCACCAGUGCUUGAGGUGCGCACUAGCGCACUAGUGAACGUAAACAGGAAGAGACUAGAAUGGAGAGAAGAACAGGGCAUCAGGGAUUAUGAAGAGUCUGAAUGUUUGGAAACUGAGAAGCCAGCUUUUGGUGCUGCCUGAAGGUUGUAGAAGGGACCUGGAAUGAAGCGGGGAAGGCUGUCGUUGGUCCACAUUCGGGUUGCUGUCUAAAGGACUGGUAAAUUAGUAGAAAGACUCUGAGGAAGCUGAAGGAUGCUAUGUGUUUGUCCUAGUGAAUAAACACCUGUCUUUAUUUCCUGUUACACUGUGUUGAGUUGCCUGCCUAUUCGUUGAGUGCCUAGCCGAGAGUUGCAACAAUUGGUGUUAUGACUCUACAAUGCACGCUGUCAUUAGGUGUGAGACUGCGCACCAGGAGACACAGGACAGAGACAGGAAAUAAGAGAGGAAGUCAAGAUGGCCGAUGAUUAGAGAUGAAAACGACGCUUGUGAUGUGAUUAGUGUAAUUCUAGAUCUAGUUUCCUAUUUGGUUAUUAAACAUUCUAUUUUGUUACUUUAUACUCCUUUCGUUGAGGUUAUUUGGCUAAGUUCUAGCAAUUGUUCUGGGUGGAAAGACAUGCUCCAAUUUGAUUCCCUUUUCUGUAAUUCAUCUAAUUCUCUUUGUAAAAUAUCUGUGUCUUGUGUUGUUUUUAUUGUUCUAUAUAUUAUGCAAUCGUCUGCAAAUAAUCUGACUUUUGUUCCUGAACUAAUGCAAUUUGGUAAAUCAUUUAUGUAAAUUAAAAAUAGUGGUGGACCCAAGACUGUUCCUUAAGGUACACCUGAGUUUACUGUUAUCGGUGUUGAUUUAGAGCCAUUUAUUAUUACAGUUUGUUCUCUCCCUAUCAGAAAAUCUUUAAUCCACUGAUGCAGUGGACCAUUAAUGCCGAAAUAUUUUAAUUGUUUAAGCAAACUAUAGUGGUGAACUUUGUCAAAAGCCUUGGAAAAAUCUAGUAAGAUAGCAUCUAUUUGUUCACUAUUAUCUAAACCUUUUGAAAAAUCAUCAAUUAGUCCUAUUAGUUGUGUUUCACAUGAUCUAUAUUUCCUAAAGCCAUGUUGGUAUGCGGUAAGAACAUUAUGUUUGUCUAAGUGGUUUAUGAUGUUGCUACAUAUUAUGUGUUCUAGGAUUUUACAUGUGAUGCUGGUAAGUGAUACUGGUCUGUAGUUUCCUGGGUCAGAUGUUUCUCCUUUUUUAAAUAGGGGGGUGACAUUAGCUUCUUUCUAGUCCUUUGGUACUCUGCCCUGGUUAAGCGAUGCCUGAAAGAGUAUUUUGAACACUGGGGCUAGUUCAUUGCUUAGUUCUUUGAGUAAUCUAGCUGGAAUACCUUCAGGUCCAGACGCUUUAUUUGGUUUGGUGUUGGCUAAUAGUUUUUGAAUUCCAUUUUCUUGUACUACUAAAUCUUCUAUGUUGUCUACUUGGUUCAAAUUAAGUAAUAUGUCUUUGUCUCCUGCGGCGGAGAAUGCUGAUGCAAAGUAUUUGUUUAGGAUGUUUGCUUUAGUUUCAUUAUCAUUAUGUAUUAUGUUAUGUUCAUCUUUUAAGGCGCUAUGCCUGUUGUUUCCAUUUUCUUAGACUUAAUGUAUGACCAUAGGUUUUUGUUGUUAUCUUUAGAUAUUACAUUGUUUAUGUAUUCACUCUGCAGCUGUCUGCUUACUUUUUGGGUUAGGUGUUUAAUUUUUAUAUACUUUUUGUAAACUCUUUCUGCCUUGGUUUCUUUAAAUUUUCUAUAUAGGUUUUCCUUCUGUUUACAAAGCUUCUUUAGUCUAUUAUUAAACCAGCAUUUAUUUAUUUUGUUUGAUGUGUAUUUAGUUGGUAUAUGAUUUUCUAUAAUGCUUUUAAGAUGGUUUUUAAUGAAAUUCCAGAGGUCAUCGACUGGUUGGUUAAUGUCUUUUUCUAAUAAGAAUGUUUGUUGAAAGUUUAAUGCAGCUUGGUGUAGUUGUGUUAGGUUACAUUUAUUCCAGAGUAAAAUUUUUCUUUGGGGUUUUGUAUUGGCUACUGCUUUUAUCUGACUGUGUAUUUUUAUGAUCUCAUGGUCUGAUAGACCAGGGAUAAUAUCACAAUAAACGACUAAUCCAGGUCUGUUGGUUAAGAAGAGAUCUAAUGUGUUGUUUAAUCUAGUUGGCUUUUUAAUGAUUUGAUAUAAACUUAGGUUGUGUAAAAUUUCUAUGAAAAGCUCAUUUAUGUCCUUAGGGUUUUGGUGUUUAUCUAUGGUUAGUGUUUUCCAAUUUAUAUCAGGUAUGUUGAAAUCACCCAUAAUCCAAAAAACUGCAUUUUUAUCUGUCUCUUUAAGUGUAGUAAUCUGAUUACAUAGUUCCUGCAUGUAUUCUAAACUAGAAUUUGGUGGUCUGUAAAUGCUGCCUAUUAUUAGGGAUGUUGAGGUGGUAUUAAUUUUACAAAAUGUAGAUUCUAUAUUUUUGAGUUAGGUAAGGUAAUUUCUUCUGCUAUAAGAGUGUUUUUUAUUGCUAAAAGAACUCCUCCAUGAUUUUCAGCCCUAUCUUUUCUAAAAAUUUCAUAAUUACUAUUGAAAAUUUCUGCAUUAUAAAUUUCAGUGAACGAAUUGUGUGUCCCCUUACCUGUCAAUUCUGUUUAGUGAUGGUCAAGCUCAACUGAUAUUAUUCUAAGCAGCUUUUAUUCUGAGAAUCAUUCAACCACGGAAGCUGUGAAGGAUAUCUGAAAUCCAUUGCUUACUUGUCUAGCAGAAAGAUUUCUAUCCGUUUAGUGAUAAAAGAUUGAGAUUAAUUGUAUACAACUUUUUGUAGUCCCUAAAUAACACACUUUUAUGCUCAAGCAUUACUGUUCAUGAAUGGUUUAGUUUUCUUAAUGCUGAGAGUGUUCAUGAAAGAGGGAUCAAAGGUCAAUUUGGGUUAUUGUUUUUUAAGACAACUUGCAAUGUUUAUUAAUUUAAAUUUACCAGGUACCUAUUAUUCAUUUACUUUGGAUUUUAGAAUAUUUGUCAUUGAAAUUUAAAUAGGUAUAAGUACAGUUAAUCAACUACAGGAUUCCAUUAAAAAAUUUAAAUGCUAAAGAAAUUUAAAAAGAAAACAUUUCAUUUUUGAGAUUAUAUCAUCUUUAUGUGGAAUGUUUUUUGAAUAAAUGGUACCUGUACAGGUGAUUAGACCUAUUAAUAAAUGAUAACUGGAUAUAUUUGUAUUUGAAACCACUGGCAUGUAUUUUACUUGUUACUAAUAACUUAAUUUACUUUUUAAUACAUGCAUUAUCUUCUAUUUUGAAGUAACAUCUGUAUUAUAUAAGAUAAGAUUAUCAACUGUAGUUUUCUUUUAAGAGUUCUUUAUGAAAAUGUUACCACUAAACACUGCUAUAUUACUAGACUUUUUUCAACUAUGUUUUGUAAAUGAAAUAUUGUACAAUGGCAUAUUUAUUGUAUUACAUAAUUAAGGUUUUUAUAGCUAUAUAUUAAAAACAUCUCAUAUCUGAUGUACUCUCUGCACUGAACAAUUUUUUUUAAAGUGAUAAAAAUUUUGGUUUAUUCAUAUCAAGUUUGGUUUGUUUGUAUAUAUGUAGAAUAUGUAUAUCAUAGUGAAAGCAUUUAUUUACUUGCAUUUUAGUUUUUAUAAUCAUUUAUAGAAUUCAGUGUAAAUUCAUUGUACAUUGAACCUCGUUGGUAGUGACAAUGUUAUUAAGUUGACAUGAAGUAUUUAUGUAUAGUCCUGGGUGUUCACUACAUUGUUCAUUGGAUGACUGCCUGACAGUGUUUUAUCCCAUGGGAACCAAUAGAUCAGCAUGUCAAUAUAUCUGUUGUAUACAACUCUAGCAAUAAAUAUUCUGAUCAAGUUUAUAUUUUUGGAACAGAAUAUGCUAAUGUGUUAAAUACUUUUUUUUUUUUUUAAGAAUAACAACUGGUACUUUAUUUUAUCCCUUUGUAUCUUUCUUUUUUUUUUUUAAUGUCUAAGUAGUAUAACUUCUAAUUUAAUUGUCUCCUUUUUAAAAUCAACCAUCUAAAUUAGGGAUUGGCAACCUUUUUCUGUUGAGGGCCGCAUUAAAUUUUUUUUUUUUAGGAAUAGAGGGCCACAUAUAUAUAAUUUGUAUUUACAACUUAGAAAAAUAUGCUAGCUGUCUAUUCAUUUACUUUUAUACUGUAUUAGACAUUCAAAUUGAGGAAUUAUAACAAGAUUUAGCAAUUUUUAAAACUAAUUAAACUAAUACUUUAAAAAAUUUUGUUACUGUCUUUUUACAUCACAUUCAUUCUUCACAACAAUCCAGUUAUACUUAAUGUGAAGUAUUUAAUUGUGCAUAAUGUUCUGGAACUCUGGAACUAGCUUUACUAGUUCUUAUCUUUGUGACUGCUGUUAAAUUACAGCCAGUCAGCAUCCACUUGUUCUUCUGGUUGCAUAUGUUCAAACAAAAGAAAAUAUUCUUGUGCAUCCAAAAAUGUCAAAGUUUAGCAUCAAGUCUUUUUAAGUGUGGAAAUACAGCUUAUGCACCCUUCAAACUGCUUCUCUUUUGGGUCAUAAUUUGCUAGGAAGUAUUUCCUCGGGAGCUGAAUCAGCUUCUGUACUAAAUGGUGAAGUGAGGAUAUUCAAAAAUGGUUUAAGUUCUUGACGUCUUAACAUUUGUUUUCAAAUUCCAUAAGUCUUGUUCUUUUCUUUUUACUAGAAAUAGUUUCACCUUUCAGCAAAGGAAAAUGUGUCACAGUCUUAGUUGACAUUGCAUGAUCUAAAGUUCACAUCAUGUUAAGAGUUUAAAAGACACGUGGAAUUCCUGAUGUAGAAAACAGGAAGUAGAAUGAAUAAAGUUGACUUUGAGUUCAGUCAAGUCAGUAAGGUUUUGCUCCCGGUCCAGGAAGGUUGGACGUUGCUUCCUUGACUGGUGUAUAUAUAUGUAUAUAGCAUGAAAGUCGAUGGACUAAUGAUUGUUGAUUAAUUAUAUUUGAGAGUUGAUUUCAUCAUGUGCUUAUUGAAUAUUAAAGUAUUAUUCGUAUUGCAAUGGAUAUCUAUAGUUGGAGCUCCAGUGUCACUAGUAGCAAUUGUUCUUAUUGUUACCCGCUGAGAUGUGGACGUGAUUUGUAACUAACAUAUAUUGGAUACUUUUGAUACCGCUGUUAUGUGGAUAGGAUUGUUAUUAUUUCUUGACUUGUAGCACUAACAAGGAGUGCAGUGUACUAUUAUUAUUAUUAUGGUAAAAUAAACUUCAUGUUGUCUGCUGAAA